rnacentral:lncRNA from 1 species
ACUGUAUCUGUCCACACACACAAGCACUGUUCAGUGAUGUGAUAUGUCUGCAAAGGUACACACUUUUGUUGACUUGAUGAAAUAACUAACCAGAGGUGCCUGAGUGUACAUGGACAGGGACAGCUCCUGAUAUCUACAGAGCAACAGAGAUGGUAUAGGAGCACAAACAGAAGGACUGUGGGAACACAAGAACUACUGGAAACAUCUCACUCAUUAACAUAUGUAGUUAAUCAAGCGGAAGUUUUUUGACUUUUUGAGAAC